ensembl:lncRNA
AAAUAAAUUCCAUCAGUGUCCUUUUUUGCUACCUGGCAUAAAUCAUUACCUAAGUUCAGAAUUGGUCUGUCUUGGUACUCGGUGACCAGCAGAGAAAUGUAGGUGAUAAAGCCAUCCAAUGUUACCUGAUGAAAGCUGAAGAAAUUGUGAAUUACUUUGAAGGCAACAUCCAUAGUAGUUAAACACUUUCAGCUUUCUAGGCAUAAGUGCAAUGAACUCAGAAUUGUUGCUAGUUUAAGUCUUGGAAUUCACAGAUGGUACUGUUCUUGUUAUAUGCCCAGUGGAAGUCACAGUUAACCAACCUGGCUCCUUGCUUUCAUUUCUCUGUAACCUAGGGUGAUGUCAUUCAUUCACCGAACAUUUGUCUAGCAUUUUUCUGGAUCACAUUGAUCCAGGCAGCAAGAACAGGUGAAUAAUGAAGAGUGUCUGGCAGAUGUUGCACUUCCACAAAUAGCCUCGUACGUGACGGCAAGUAUUAUGACGGGGCAAGUAUCAUGGACCACUGAGUCCUAGAAGACUCAGCCACUACUUGAGAAUGUUGGUGAAGAUAUCAUCUAAGCUGGCUUUGGAGAGUGAGUGAGUUCUUCAGGAGACAGGUUCACAGACAUGUAUCCGAGCCUGUUACAUAUGGAGGUAGCAGAACUCACGUUGGAAGAUAGCAUCUGGAGGUUAUGCCUGAAGAACAGCUGACACCUGCUGCAUCGAUGUCACGGGUGAAAAUGCUUUGGGGCUGUGUGGGCCUGCCGAGCACCUAGUGGGGGCUUUGGAGAGGUGUCAAUAGCCUGCCCGAUGCCUUUGUUCUAAUCAACUGUGAUGAGGAUGCCUGACUUUCCACCCCACUUCUCUGGCCUCCAGUUAACUGAAAAACAGGUCCCUGGAUACCCAGCUUCCAGCCUGAUUCUCUUGACUCCUUGAAGAACUUGCACAAGCCAGUUGAGUAUCUAUGGAAUGCUGAGCAAAAACCCUUAUUAAAUACAUGACCAAAGCAAAAUUAGCAAAAUAAAAGCAGAAAGCAGUCAUAGGUAAGGAAGAGUUAUGACCCUAGAGAGGCAGGUGCCUGUACGAGGAGAGGGCAAGGAGACGAGAGAAUUACACACUGCCAGCCUCAGGUGGAAGCUCAGAGACCCCUCUCCCUGCUCUCCAUUCCAUCUCCAAGAAGGAAGCACUAAUGAAAGUCAAUGACCAUUGAGGUCCCAGGAACACAGAAACCGCUGAUAAUGGGAAGGCCGAUUUUGGUGGGAGGAGUACUUGUGUGAGACAUACACAUGGUUGUACAGGCUCUUAAAGCCUGUUGUACACAGUGAAGUAAGUCAGAAAUAGAAAAAUAUUGUAUAUUAACACAUAUAUAUGGAAUCUAGAAAAAUGGUGCUGAUGAGCCUAUUUGCACGGCAGAAAUAGAGAUGCAGACAUAGAGAACAGACUUGUGGAUGCAAACAGGAAAGGAGAGAUUGGGACAAGUGGAAAGAGUAGUACUGAAACAUGUAUAUUACCACAUGAAAAACAGAUAGCUAGUGGGAAGCUGCUGUAUAACGGGGAGAUUAUACUCUGACAACGAAGAGGGGUAGGAUAGUGUUGGGGGUGGAAGGGAGGUUCAAGGUGGAGGGGAUGUGUGUAUGCUUAUGGCUGGCUCACAGUGUUGUAUGGCAGAAAGCAACACAGCAUUGUAAAGCAAUUAUGCUCCAAUUUAAAAUAAAGAGAGAAAGAAAUAGACACGGUUAAAGCACAGUCACCAUAUGACCUGAGAGCACUUCCCUGUCUUACAAGGGCACAGAAUCAGAGAAGAAGAGUUAGGACUUAGCUCUGCUCUGUUUUGGGAUUUAGGGGAGAGAGCAGCUUACCUUUCAUUCUGUCUGUCCUGUCCUCAGGGUGAUAAGAUGCCAGGGUGGGCUCAGGGAGAAAGGGCAAAAGAGGAGACUACUUAAGAUGGCCUCUAGAACAUCAUCUGUGUUAGAGACAAGUGAAGUGAAGUGAAGUCGCUCAGUCGUGUCUGACUCUUUGCGACCCCAUGGACAGUAGCCUACCAGGCUCUGCCAUCCAUGGGAUUUUCCAGGCAAGAAUACUGGAGUGGGCUGCCAUUUCCUUCUCCAGGGGAUCUUCCCAGCCCAGCAAUCAAACCCGGGUCUCCUGCAUUGCAGACAGACGCUUUACUGUCUGAGCCACCAGGGAAGCCCUUAGACAAGAGCACUCUGAAAUCCCCAAGUCCAGCACAAUGGUCAGGAAGGUACCAUGGAGGAUGGCAUGGCAGCCUACUCCAGUAUUCUCGCCUGGAGAAUCCCAUGGACAGAGGAACAUGGUGGUCCGUAAGGUCACAAAGACACGACUGAAGGAGCUUAACAUACAUGCUACUGGAAAGCUCUGUCCUUUCCCCUUCCCUUGGAAGACGUUUUUGACUUCUGUCUGGAACAGGUGUUCCCACCCUGCCCUUCCCGAAUAGCCUAUGCUCACCGCUUGAUAAAAAGACAGUCACCUACAGUUACCUCCUCCUAUUUCUAAAUCCAUCACUAUGCGGUAAGUGUCAAGAGCCCAGGUGCCGUCUUCUAUGGAUACUGCUGCAUCCAUACUGUCUGACCCUAACAGACUAGGCGCUCAGUAUCUGGGGAAUGAAUACGUGACCCUAACAGACUAGGCGCUCAGUACCUGGGGAAUGAAUACGUGAAAGAACAAAGAGGGAAGCAGGCAGACAGAAAAGGAGAGGCGGUGUUUGUUUAUUUAGUAACAGCUCUACUGAGAUAUAAUUCACUCGUUAGAUGUACAAUUCAGUUGUUUUUAGUUAUUUAUUUCUGAAUCAGCUGACUUUAAGAGUAACU